rnacentral:lncRNA from 1 species
AAAAAAAAAAAAAAAAGAGGGAUGUUUAGGACAAGUCAGAAAGUCAAGUCAAGGCAUGUCAUAGCUUGUCUGUGUAGUCAUGAAAGAAUUUAUGAAAGGGAAUUUAUGAAAGGAAAGAAAUGUACAGUUUGAAGAAACAGUUUACAUGCAAGGUGUGUAAGGAAAGCAAAAUAUACUUCUAGUAAAAAGAUUAUAAGGAGUCAUGAGAAUGUGGAUUUUUGCCUAGAUUAAAAGGUUAAAGGACUGUUUUAAGUUGGAUAAAAUAAAGAGGAAGAUUUAAACAAGUUGUGGAAGGUUGAUUAUAAAGGAAAUUUUGUGUGUAAACAUAUUGGCCAAAGUUAAAG